rnacentral:rRNA from 1 species
UUCCAGACUCCUACGGGAGGCAGCAGUGAGGGAUAUUGGGCAAUGGGGGAAACCCUGACCCAGCGACGCCGCGUGAGGGAAGACGGUCUUCGGAUUGUAAACCUCUGUCUUUGGGGACGAAAAAGGACGGUACCCAAGGAGGAAGCUCCGGCUAACUACGUGCCAGCAGCCGCGGUAAUACGUAGGGAGCGAGCGUUGUCCGGAUUUACUGGGUGUAAAGGGAGCGUAGACGGCAUGGCAAGUCAGAUGUGAAAGCCCGGGGCUCAACCCCGGGACUGCAUUUGAAACUGUCAGGCUGGAGUGCAGGAGAGGUAAGUGGAAUUCCUAGUGUAGCGGUGAAAUGCGUAGAUAUUAGGAGGAACACCAGUGGCGAAGGCGGCUUACUGGACUGUAACUGACGCUGAGGCGCGAAAGCGUGGGUAGCGAACGGGAUUAGAUACCCGAGUA